GAAUUAACAGUCACUAUUAGUAGCUGGGAAAGGGGAAUGUUUGAUCAUAUUAUGGUUUGAACAGUGUUCUGUUUGUGCUCAAAUAUGAUUGUGAAAUAGUCUUUCUUUCAUCUUGGUGAGAGGGUAGCUUUGUCUGAUAUUGGUGUUGUGAAAUUUUUAGUUUGAACCGGAGAACAUCAUGGCCUAGGUGUUUAUCAGACCAGCUCUAGCUGAGAGCAGAAAAGGGUUACUUCUUCUUUCUCAGAAACGACUAUGGAAAACAGUAGGCCGGGCGCAGUGGCUCACUCCUGUAAUCCCUGCACUUUCGGAGCCCGAGGCGGGCGGAUCACGAGGUCAGGAGUUCGAGACCAGCCUGGCCAAUAUGGUGAAACCCCGUCUCUACUAAAAAUACAAAAAUUAGCUGGCCAUAGUGGUGUAUGCCUGUAGUCCCAGCUACUUGGGAGGCUAAGGCAGAAGAAUCGCUUGAACCUAGGAGGCAGAGGUUGCAGUGAACCGAGAUUGUGCCACUGCACUCCAGCCUGGGCAACAGAGCGAGACUCCGUCUCAAAAAAAAAAAAAGACUAUAGGAAAACAGUAAACAACAAGGGCCGGGCGCGGUGGUUCACGCCUGUAAUCCCAGCACUUUGCAAAGCCGAGGGAGGCGGAUCACUUGAGGUCAGGAGUUUGAAACUGUAGCAGGAGAGGUCGUAGACAAAAUCCCUCAGACACCGGACUGUGGAAGGAACUUCCAUGGAACUUGAGCCUUCGCACAGCGUAUUUUGGCAUCGAAUUUAAAGCUAGUAGAGGUCCGGAAGAUUCCCAGGAUUAAAGUCUUUAAACAGAAAGCGUGAAUCUUGCCUAAGUAAAAGGUACCAUCUCUGGGUGGGCUUGAACCACCAGCCUUUCGGUUCAAACAGCCGAACGCACUAACCUAUUGCGCCACAGAGACUCUAAUGGUUUAGAUUUGCUGAUACCAGAAAUGGCAUUUUAACCUCUGGCGGUAGAUAAUCUCAUAUGUUUGUAGCCUGUCCAAUCCCGCGCACUCCAGAAACCCAGAACACGGGAGACAUUGAAGCCAAGAGUCGAGUCUUUGGGCACGUUUGGACAUUCUACCCGGGCAGAAGUCAGCUGGGGGACUCCAACGGCCAAACGGCCGCCUGCUCCUCACCGUCUGCUCUUCACUGCUUCCCCCGCCUGCUCUUCACCGUCUCAAAAGUCGCCGGCCCCUCUACAGGCGACAACUGCAGCUUCUCAGGCGGAAGUCACUCGCUUUCCCAUUCUUAGCCCCGCUUCACACCUUGAGCUCACAGUCAUUUCCGCCGGGCCUGGGCUAGCGGACGCGCGCGUGGGAAGGACCAGAACCCGUGGUGUCCUCACCGCGUCGCCCUCGGGCCCUCAGAGGUGGGAUCCACCGGACAGGGACCUGGAGUUUGCACAGGCUGCAGCCCUUCGCCCAGAGCCAGCCUAGCACCUGGUAGGUGCCCAAUAAAUGCUCGGUGAAGGAAGGCAUUCCACCGCAGGGUUUUAGGAGAACCAUGAAUUCCUGUGUGAACGUUAAGCGUUUAGUCCUACUAGGAAGUCUGGAAUAUGGAGACCUGAACUGUUUCUCAAAGGCAGCUGUUCUUGUAUCCCCAGAGCCGGUUUAGAAUCCAGCAAAGGCCCCUGCCCGGUGGAUCCCACCUCUGGAGACCCGAGGAUAGUGCGGUGGGGGGCACCGCGGGUUCUUGUCCUUCCCACGCUCACGUCCACUGGCCCAGGCCCAAAGGAACUGGCUGUGAGUACAAGAUGUGAAGAUAGUUACAAAUACCAGCUAGUGCCAGUGCCAGUUGCAGAAAUCAGGACUUGUAAUAGUUAUGAGUAUUUCUUCAUUAUUUUGAGAUGAAUACAUUUGGGUGUCUAUUAACCAAAACUUUUCUUGAGAAUUCUCCUCUUCCAUCACCCUAGCUAGCACAUUCAUUAAUAAUUAACUUUUAGAAAUCUCAAUAUUUAGGUUACAGGAAAGCAAAUAUGGAAUGUGAUCUAUCUAGCUAAAAAAGGAGUGAAUAUCAUUCAAAGACAAAGACUUUAUCCUGUUGGGGAAAGGGUUGGCAUAUUUUCACUGAAUGAGAAAAAGUAUGAUUUUCAUAUUGUCUUUAUUUGAACCUUAAGUAUGAUUUUACAAGGAGGAAAAAGGAGGAGGAAGAAGCGAAAGAAGAGGAAGAGGAGGAAAAAAGAAGAGGAGGAAGGUGUACAUUGAUGCCACUUUGAGAAGAAGUGGACUGUGGUGGAUUUGUAAUGCAUCAGUUUGGCCAAGCUGAAUGCACAUUUCCCAGAUUUGCCAUCUUUAGAUAGCUCUAGGUUAGCCUGGGCAACAGGAGACACUUGGAAGAUAGAAUUCAAGUGGCUAUUACACACUUUUGUAUGCUGGGAAGGGCGGUGUUACAGCUCAGGCAUGAUCUUCAGCUUCCCUGACCCUUGGACUGGUGGGUGUUUUGCUUCUUGAUCUAACAUUAAGGUUAGAAGUUGCAGGAUUCCAGCUGGGUUUUGCUACAUCCAAUCUGGUUUAAGUUCUCAUAUUAUUAGGAAAGCUUUAGGGUGCUUCAGGAAAACGCUUUUUAAAAAAUCAAAUUUGGAAAAUAUCAAAUGGAAUUAUAGGCAAUAAGCAUAACCCAGUGGAACCAUGAAUCAAACCCUCUGGAGCAGGGUUGUCUAAAUUUUGGCUUCCUUGGGCCACACUGGAAAAAAAAAGACACUUGUCUUGGGCCAAACAUAAUAUACACUAAUCGCAAUUGAACUGUACCUGUAAAGCUUGUAAACAAAAUGUGUCUGUAAAGUCUGUAAACAGGCCAGGUGCGGUGGCUCAGGCCUGUAAUCCCAACGCUUUGGGAGGCCGCGAGGCAGGCGGAAAACUUGAGGUCAGGAGUUCAAGACCAGCGUGGCCAACAUGGUGAAACCCUGUCACUCUUUUUUUUUUUUUUUUCGAGACGGAGUCUCGCUCUGUCGCCCAGGCUGGAGUGCAGUGGUGCGAUCUCAGCUCACUGCAACCUCUGCCUCCCGGGUUCAAGCGAUUUUUUUGCCUCAGCCUCCUGAGUAGCUGGGACUACAGGCACGUGCCACCACGCCCGGCUAAUUUUUUUUUUUUUUUUUUUUUUUUUGUAUUUUUAUUAGAGAUGGGGUUUCACUGUGUUAGCCAGGAUGGUCUUGACCUCCUGACCUCAUGAUCCACCCGCCUCCGCCUCCCAAAGUGCUGGGAUUACAGGCGCGAGCCAGUGCGCCCGGCCCGGUGAAACCAUGUCUCUACUAAAAAUUCAAAAAAUUAGCCGGACCUAAUUUUUUGGUUGCCUGAGCCUGUAAUGCCAGUUACUCGGGAGGCUGAGUAUUCUCUGGUUGAGGAAGGAGAAUAGCUUGAACGCAGGAGGCAGAGGUUGCAGUAAGGCGAGAUCGCGCCAUACACUCCAGCAGACUGUUUGCUGUUAAUCCCAUAGGGAAAAGAAAAGCUUAGUUUUAUUUCUAUAGAACAACAACAAAAAAGGCUAAGAGAUUAGUAGAGACGGGUUCACCAUAUUUGCCCACACACGCCUGAGGUCGAGCGAUAUUAACAUAAACAUAACCUAUCGACGUACCUCAUAGAUUGCUGGGAUUACAAACGUGAGAACCACUAUGUUCCAAAUUUUUAGUUUCAGUGAAGUUACAGAUGGGAACAAAGACCUGAUUUUCAGCUUAUGCUGACGCCUAGUAUGCGUUUCUGCAGCAAACAAAACCUACUUUUAAAACGACAAAAAUGCAGGGGAAAGCGCGAACGCAGUCCACCACUACCACAAAUCAUACAGUCGAGUUUCCCGCAUUUGGAGAAACUGCAGAGGUCAGCACAUCCGGAGUGCAAUGGAUAAGCCUCGCUCUGGAAAAAACCACCUUCGUGACCAUGGUAUCUCUCCUGCCGGGUCCGACCAGCGGUCCUGAACCCGCUCCCACGGCACGGGAACUCCUUCGUGGCGAAGCAGCAUGUGGCGAAGCAGCAGCCCCUGCGCUGGCUCAUCUACAUAGAAGUCGCCCUAUCCGUGAUGUCACCGACAGUGCCUUUCCCAGUCCCCGUCUGCCUUUCUGCCGCUCAGCCGACCAACCCGCUGCCGGAGCCGGCAAGGGGAAGUGACGUCUGCCUUUCCCUUUUUUCUCUUCUGCUUCCCUCAUCUGUUCUCUUCCAAAGAAGCUGGUCCUUAGCCUGUAUUGCGGAGCAAGCUUUCGGCGACCAGCUGGACCCUGGGCACCCUUCUUCGAACAAUGGCUUUUAAUUCUCAGACUAGAACGUUUAGGAUUACAAAAGAAACUGGUUCUUUUCACCUCCUUAUUCUUGUGAUGUAGCAUUCCGCAUAUAUAUAUAUAUAUAUAUAUAUAUAUAUAUAUAUAUCCAACUAUCCUAAAAGACACUGCCCUUCAUCAUUCCAUGCCGUUAGACAUUUAUAGGACCAUGCAUGGUGAUCUCCUCCAGACAAAAGUAAAUGCUGGUGCAGAACAGGAUUUGAGUUUGAUGUCAUGCAUAUAAUGUGAUCCCACUGUAUGACUACACAAAUGUUGGCAAAAGUAAGUUCAGAGGAAAUGGUAGGCAAGUACUUCCCAGUUUUGACCAGAAGAUGGAGAAAAAAAGAAUUCUCAAAAAAUGUUAAAGGUGUCUACGGAGAAAUAGACAAGCGAUGCACGACAGAUACAUGUGUCAGUCUGGUCCCUGCAGUUGUAUUUGUAAUAAUACACAUUGGAGCAAUUUCAUGGCCAUCGGUUAGAGAAUGUUUGAGGAAUGAUCCAUUCAUAUCAAGAAGGACAUUUCAAAGAUCAAAACCUGAUGGAAAUGCUGGAGACCAUGGCGCUGAUAGGAGCUCAUGCGUGUUGACCAAUUACUACAUGACAGGCAUUGUCUCCACGCUUUUCCUGCACUGCUCAUUUAAACACUGGACAACCUAAGUGUUCUGAUUUAGCCCAUUGGACAGAUAGAAAUGGAGGCACAGAAGAUUAAUGUGUUUAACUUCAAACCCUGGCAGAUUAGGUUUUUCAUCCAGAGCCUGUGGCUUCACCAUAGGUGUGAUUCACGUUCUGUCAUUCUCCACUUUAGGAAUUUCCAGUAUUCCAAAUAUGAGAAGCUGAGUAAACAAACAACAAACUCAAAACCCUAAAAACCAGGAUACGUAAGGGUAGAUGUUUGUUGGGUGUGGAUUAAAAAUGGACUUUUUUUGCCCCAAGCAACAAAGAGGCACCUUAGAAAAUAGACAAGAGACAAGAGGAAGAGAAGCUUUAAGAGAUAUUUGGUCCAAGGAGGAGACUCUUCAGAUGGAAGGUCACAUCAGCUAGAAACAUUAAUAUGACUGGAUGGGCUCAAACCACUGACUUUUCAGUCAACAUCCAACAGCACUAACCCAGUGUUCCAGAGACACUGCUUGUUAAACAGUGAAAGCUGUUGCUCAAUUGUGUCAUCCAUAAUUGUCAAAUAUUGCCAUUUAGUAGCACAAGGAAGUAUUCUCCGUUGCCAAGCUAGAGUACCCAUAACUCUUCUGUUUUGUUGAACAUUCUUCCCCACCACAAACCCUCUUUAGAAGACUGGGGGCUCCUAAAGCAUUGAGGCCGAGAGUCCCGUCCUUGUGCAUGUUUGGGCAUUGACCCAGGGCCAAGUCAGUGGGAGACUCCUCCACACCUACGCCAGGUCCCCAGGUGACAACUGCAGUCUCUGGAUCUGAAGUCAUCCACGUUCCCAUUCCUAGCUCACCUCACCCAUCGUGAAGCCUGGUUAGUAUUGCCAGAGACCCGAGUGGGCAGAUGCCCACACCAAAGACAGAACCUGCUGCGUGCCCACCUUGCUGAUCCCUCCCUCCUUCUAGACAAAGGCUUCAUAAGCCAGGGACCUUGGGUUUGCUCACAAGGCAGCCCCUCACCUAGUAGGCAUUAGUUCAUUAUGUAUAUGUAUAUGUAGUCCUCAGGUUGUAUUCCUUAAAUAUAUAUAAUUUAAGGAUAUGUAUUAUAUAUAUAUAAAUAUAUAUGUAAUUCCUUAAAUAUAUAAUUUUAAUACAAUUUUUUUUUGAGAUGGAGUCUCACUCUGUCUCCCAGGCUGGAGUGCAGUGGCACCAUCUUGGCUCACUGCAAGCUCCACCUCCCAGGUUCACGCCAUUCUCCUGCCUCAGCCUCCCAAGUAUCUGGGACUACAGGCGCCCGCCACCACGCCAGGCUAAUUUUUUUUUUUUUUUUGUAUUUUUAGUAGAGAUGGGGUUUCACCAUGUUAGCCAGGAUGGUCUCAAUCUUCUGACCUCAUGAUCCACCCACCUCGGCCUCUCAAAGUGCUAGGAUUACAGGCGUGGACCACCGCGCCUGGCCAAAACAAAGUUUUUAAAAGAUUCCUUUAAUAAACAUUUACAAUAACAUCAAGAAAUAUAAACGACCUAGCAAAUAUGUGAAAGCCAGCCAGACUCUCAAUGGCAUCCAGAAAUAUAAACGACAUAGAAAAGACAUGAAAGCCAGCCAGGCAUGGCUUCAAAUCCCAGCACUUUGGAAGGCUGUGGCAGGAGGGUUGCUUGAUCUCAGAAGCUUGAAACUAGCCUAGGCAACAUAGUGAGCCCUCAUCUCUACUGAAAAUCAGAAAAAUUAUCCGGGUUUGGUGGUGUGAGCCUGUAGUCCCAGGAAUCAGUGGAUGAGGCCCUAGGAUGUCAUAGGCCUGAGAAUUCCAUGCUGCAAUGAGCUGUGAUUGUGCCACUGUACUCCAGCCUGGGUGAAAGAGUGAGAUCCUGUGCAGAAACAAAAGAAGAAAAAAAGAGAUGUGAAAGCCUAUAUAUUGAAGACUACCAAGUACUGCUUAGAGCAGUUAAAGACCUUUGGAAUAGAAAAUGUUUCUUCUUGCAUUUCAAGAUUGCUUUUGUUUUGGGGGGACACACUAUUUUUUAGGAAUAUGAAGUUCUUCUCAGGCAUUCCUGUAAAAAAGGCCACUUUUUGAUAGGAUUGUAUUGAAUCUGUGGGUUGCUUUGAGUUGUAUUUUUGUCUUAACCAUGUUACAACUUCCAACCCAUGGACACAAGAUGUCUGUCCAUUGAUUUAGGUCUUCCUGAAUCUCCUCGAGCAAUGCUCUGUAGUUGUCUGUGUACAAGUACUGCACCUUCUUGAACAAAUUUAUUCCCAGGCACAUUAUUCUUACCAGUGCUAUUAUAAAUGAAAUCAUUGUGUCAAUUUU